rnacentral:rRNA from 1 species
GGGGGAAUAUUGCACAAUGGAGGGAACUCUGAUGCAGCGACGCCGCGUGAGUGAUGAAGGAAUUCGUUUCGUAAAACUCUGUUCUAUGGGAAGAAAAGGACUGUACCAUAGGAGAAAGCUCCGGCUAAAUACGUGCCAGCAGCCGCGGUAAUACGUAUGGAGCGAGCGUUGUCCGGAAUUAUUGGGCGUAAAGGGUGCGCAGGCGGCUUUACAAGUUGGAUGUGAAAUAUUGUGGCUCAACCACAAACGUGCAUCCAAAACUGCAAAGCUUGAGUUAAGGAGAGGUAAGUGGAAUUCCUGGUGUAGCGGUGGAAUGCGUAGAUAUCAGGAGGAAUACCGGUGGCGAAGGCGACUUACUGGACUUAAACUGACGCUCGGGCACGAAAGCGUGGGGAACAAACAGG